GUGUUAUGAAGCUUGGAUAAAUCUAUGCUGUGAACUUCUCUGAAACUGUUUUGACAAAACUUGUUACUAUAUUCUGCUGCAUUCCGUUUGCCAAACAUUAACCUCACAAGAUGAAAGAUUUCAAACUAAAAAUAAGACGUUUAGGAGUUCACGUCUUAGCUAGAGCUACUUAUAUAAUGAAUGAGAGUUCAAAGAGUUCACAUAUAGAGUGUUUGAACCUUUUUAAUUGACAUUUGACAAAUAGUUGAGGCUUAAGAGUUGAAAUCUCCCCUUCUUAAAAAGGAAAACUGAAUAAGAACUGCCCACUAAUCCAAGUCUAGGAUCACUUGACAGACGACAAAUGAAGGGGAUUCAGUUUUUGCGAAAUUUUUUUACAUGUUGCUAAACUCAUUUCAAAUUACAUAAGUCGACCAGUGUGCAUGAUCAAAUUACUCAGAGGCAAAAAUGCAAUAAUGUUCUUCAAAAAGUAAUAAAAUCUACAACAGUAAUAUAACUGAAUAACAAGCAAGCCAAGCAAGAUUUUUAAAGGUAGUUCUCAUUCAAAACAUUAACACGGCAGAAUUUCUACAGUGCUUUAGUCGGAUGAAAGGCAAUUACUCCCCCUGAAUGGAACAAUAGUCAAUCACAGUUAGACAGCAAACAUGCUGCUGGAGUCGAAACUCGAAAUUAGGUGGUAGUGGUGAAAGAUGUUCAAGCACUAUUCAACACCACCCUGAACUCAGCAAGUCAAAGGCUAUCUAUGUUCAAUCAAAGCAUUGUUCGCCAUAAUAACUACGCCAUUAAUUUUAAGAGUCGUUUUCUCCUGACAACAGAAAACUAUAUCCUGGAUACACUCAAUGUUUAACGCAAAAAUUUAAACUAAAAACUAAACAGUAUGGAAAAUGCGGCAGUUGACAUAAUCCGAAUCAAUCUGUAAGGUCUCGGUUACAAAUCUAAAUCCAAUUUGUUGUUCUUACUUACAAAAUUAAACUAAAAAACUUAAAACUAUUAGUACACGCAGUUUAUGUACGUACUUAGUAACUUAAUUGACAACUAACAAGGUGUAGCAUCACAUGCAUAAGGC